UACGUAGGGGGCAAGCGUUGUCCGGAUUUAUUGGGCGUAAAGAGCUCGUAGGUGGUUCGGUAAGUCGGAUGUGAAAUCUCCAGGCUCAACCUGGAGGGGUCAUUCGAUACUGCCGUGACUAGAGGUCGGUAGGGGAGUGUGGAAUUCCUGGUGGAGCGGUGAAAUGCGCAGAUAUCAGGAGGAACACCCGUAGCGAAGGCGGCACUCUGGGCCGAUACUGACGCUGAGGCGCGAAAGCUAGGGGAGCAAACAGG
rnacentral:rRNA from 1 species